ensembl:lncRNA
AGGGAACAAACGCACAGGAGGCCGUGGCACCCAGAACAAUUCUGAUACUCAGAAAGUACCUAGAAAUUGCUUGCUGACACUCUAAGUCAUCUGUAAAGCAGAAGGAUGCCACAAAGGACCACGAUAAAACCAGACUGAAACAGCUAGAUCCAAGAUGGUGGAUAAAGUAAGCUAAAGGGCUUCCCUGGUGGCUCAGUGGUAAAGAAUCAGCCUGCCAAUACAGGAAACACGGGUUCAGUUCCUGGGCCAGGAAGAUCCCACAUGCAACAGAGCAACUACUGAAGCUCCGUUGCCACAAUUACUGAAGCCCAAGCACCCUAGAGCCAGUUCUCCACAAGAGAAGCCGCAGCAAUGAGAAGCCCGUGCACUGCAACUAGAGAGGAGCCCC